UCCUGGCUCAGAUUGAACGCUGGCGGCAUGCUUUACACAUGCAAGUCGAACGGUAACAGGGAGCUUGCUCCGCUGACGAGUGGCGAACGGGUGAGUAAUAUAUCGGAACGUACCCAAGAGUGGGGGAUAACGUAGCGAAAGUUACGCUAAUACCGCAUACGAUCUAAGGAUGAAAGCAGGGGAUCUUCGGACCUUGUGCUCCUGGAGCGGCCGAUAUCUGAUUAGCUAGUUGGUGAGGUAAAGGCUCACCAAGGCGACGAUCAGUAGCUGGUCUGAGAGGACGACCAGCCACACUGGAACUGAGACACGGUCCAGACUCCUACGGGAGGCAGCAGUGGGGAAUUUUGGACAAUGGGCGCAAGCCUGAUCCAGCAAUGCCGCGUGAGUGAAGAAGGCCUUCGGGUUGUAAAGCUCUUUUGUCAGGGAAGAAACGGUAGAGGCUAAUAUCCUUCGCUAAUGACGGUACCUGAAGAAUAAGCACCGGCUAACUACGUG
rnacentral:rRNA from 1 species